GAAAUAUUUUCGAAAGGUGUAAGCUGAUUAUUAUAAUUAUUCUUCAAAAUCAUGAAAGCUUUUUAUGGUAUUUUGAUAAUCUUACUCUUUUGUACCAUGUUCAAUUUGAAUGAAUCAACAUUUAUAGAUGUCAGUUGUUCUGUAUCAAAAGAAUGUUGGGCACCGUGUAAAGCAGCAUUCGGAGUUGAUCGC